GCGGAUGUAGCCCAGUGGAUCAAGGCAGUGGGAUUGUGACACCCCACGCGGCCGCGCGCGGGAAAA
rnacentral:tRNA from 1 species